AGGAAAUUUUUCACACAAAUAUUAAUUUUACUUGAAAUUUCACUGUUUAUAAACAUAUCGAUUACGAAAUAAAAAAAAACAAAAUGAAGUUAUUCCGUUUAUUCCCCGCAGUGAUGAUUUGCUGUCUUUUGAUUGAAGUGAAGUGUCAACCAUGUGGAGGACGCGGAGCAGCAGCUGGAUCAGACUUAGGCGCAGGCGAAAAAAAAGAAGUAGGCCUAAGUAAAGGCGCAGGUGGUGACGGACACUCAGGCGAAGACGGAGGCGUAGGCGAACACAGAGGCGCAGGCGGAGCCGGAGGCGCAGGCGGAGCUGGAGGCGGAGGCGGAAGCGGAGGCGGAGGCGGAAGUGGAGGCGCAG